rnacentral:lncRNA from 1 species
CUCGUAUGGCUGUGGACGUGAAAUCUCGAGCGAAGCGCUAUGAGAAACUGGACUUCCUCGGAGAGGGACAGUUUGCUACUGUCUAUAAGGCCAGAGAUAAGAACACCAACCAGAUCGUCGCCAUUAAGAAAAUCAAACUUGGACACAGGUCAGAAGCUAAAGAUGGUAUAAAUAGAACAGCCUUAAGGGAGAUAAAGCUCUUGCAGGAACUAAGUCAUCCAAAUAUAAUUGGUGACGUUCAAGAGUUUCCCUGGCAUCCCCCUGCAGCACAUCUUCAUUGCAGCUGGAGACGACCUGCUUGAGCUCAUACAAGGCUUGUUCUUAUUCAACCCAUGUACUAGAAUUACAGCUUCACAGGCGUUGAGGACCAAGUACUUCAGUAAUCGUCCAGGGCCAACACCUGGAUGCCAGCUUCCAAGACCAAACUGUCCAGUGGAAGCAUUAAAGGAACAGUCAAAUCCAGCCAUGGCGACAAAACGGAAAAGAGCGGAGGCCUUAGAACAAGGAAUAUUGCCCAAGAAGCUAAUUUUUUAGUUGCAGCGAACAAUGGACAGUUUCACUGCUGAAAGAAAUGAUCCAAAGGCAAAUAACGGAAAAAAAAUAGGGAAUAUUAAAUACUAUAUAAGAACUUGUAAAUACUCUACAGAUGUAAAAUAUGUAAAGCUAUGGGUUAUUUUUAUUAAAUGUAUUUUAAAAU